UAUUCAGUUUCAGUUUCACCUGGCUUAGGGUCACGGCAUUCUUGUGACUCAGGCACCUGAAUCAGAUCCUACGGUGCUGUCUUUUGGGGUCCCACCCCGAGGUCCAGUGGUUGCCUCAGUUUUCAUAACGGGUCUGGCUUCAUUCACAGAAUUCUUCCUGGUCAUGCCAAUUAUCCUGACACCGAGAAACUGAGGCUUGGAUUUAUCCUGUGGCUUUGUGAGUAGUUAAGUGAUAUUUCUUGCCAUCCUGAGCGCUACGCCAAAUUGUCACGGACGGGUGUGUUCGAGAGUGCUUAAAAAAUCACUGGCAAAGGUAUGAGAAAAAGUCAGAUUUAAUAUUAACCAACAAAGCACAACAGGUUCGUUGGCAAGAUUCUCUCACAGCUAGGGCACAACAAGGGAAA